ensembl:processed_transcript Gm26871 predicted gene, 26871
AUCAGCUGAAGGCUCUCGCCUGGGACUCCUCCGAAGCAUGAGCAAGCCGCCACCACGCGAAGGCACUGGGGCACAGCCAGCGAGAGGCGACGAGGUCCCUUCCCAGGGCUUGUUAACACUGUAACCGGGCGCUCAGAGAGCAGCGGCUCCCACUGCCCAAGCCUGCCUCGCCGCCCAUCCGAUGACUCCUGGCUUCUGCACACAGUUGGAGUUCAGCUGGCAACCUGGAUUUAGAGGGGUCCGCUCGCUGCCAUGACACUCAAUCAAAGCACCUAGAGUGAGCUGGUCAAGACCAGAGUCCGCAUGAAGCAGAGCAAAUCCCAAGGAGAGCGCUGGGUGACCACCAGAAUUGGAAAUAGAACAGCCAUUUGGAAGAUCUGGGCAGGAAGCAACAGAGCACAGCUUUGGAGCCUUCUUUAGGGAAAUCGAGUUAUGGAUUUAUGGUCCCGGUCAAGCUCAGCCCAGCCCUAGCCAGGGGCGGGCUCCGCAGCAAGAGUUCUUUCUGGUGGUGGUGGCGGCGGCGGCAGCGGCAGCGGCAGCGGCAGCAGUGACAGCGGUAGCAGAGGCAGAGGCAGCGGCAGCUUGGCCCUCUGACUCUCUUCGGUGACGGGUAUUCUUGGGUGGAUAAUACGGAUUACGUUGUUAUUGCUUAAGAAUACGCGUAGUCGAGGAGAGUACCAGCGGCAGGCGGGCAGCGGCCG